UAACCAGACUGGGGGGAUGCGGUUGGGGGGGGGGUAGCAAAACGCCACAGCGUUAAGGGUUUGAUCCUCCCAGAGCUAAGGGACACAGGCCAAAGCAAGCACUUGCAGGCUGAUAGGAAAUCGAGACUCUGAUCAAGGAAGCAGUGUGCGUGCAGUAAACUAAGAAACUUCUGGAAAUUGUUCUUUUUAUGGGCCGAACGUGUUCCCCAGAUUCCUAUGCUGAAACCCUGGUCUUCAGCAAUUCAGAAUGUGACUGUGUUUGGAGACAGAAUCUUUAAAGCGGUACUUAAGGUAAAACGGGGUCAUCAAGGUCACGGCAGUGCACUCUGACCCACGUCCCCAUGAGAAAAGAGGUGAGGAGACAGACGCGCGCAGAGGAACCAGGUGACCCCACCAUCCACAUGCAGACGCCGCUCGGGGGAGGCAGCAGUGCUGAAACCUUCGUCUUGGACUUCCAGCCUCCAGAACUGAGGCCACAGACGCUACGGCUUGAGCCGCCCGAACACAAGGACACUGCCCUGUCUGGGGUCCAGCUCAGCGGGGAGCAUGUCUGGAGGACCACCACCCCUGGCGUUCUCCCCUCCUCAGCCCUCUCCAUCUCCCAAUGCUGUAUCUUAUUUUGGUAAUCAGCAGGAAGAGGAGGAAAUUAGGGCAAAAGACACACACAGGUACUGAAAAACCAACCCACAUCCCCUCCUGGUAGAGGUCCCGGCCUCCAGGAGAUGGCCCAGGCAAACUUCUGUGCCAACCCUGUCCGGUCCUCCUGCAUGCUGGAGGUUGAGCACAGCGCCCCGGCGCUGGCCCACCUCAUUCAGUAGCCAGCACCUCCAAGGGAUGUUCACAUGCCCCAACUCUUCUGGCCCUAAAACCACCCAGGAGCAGGCAUCAUGCCCAUUCUACAGAUGAAGCAACUGAGCUCAGAGUGGAAGAGCUUUCGGAGACCCCAGCCACACGCCUCCUGGGCCUCACCAGCCUAGAACGAAGUGCUGGGAUGGGUCAUAUCAGAGGCAGAGCCCCUCCAGCCCCACGACAGGUGGGAAGGAGAUGACGGGACCACCACCCUCGCCCCAGCCUAUGUCCCACGGCCCCGCCACAUGGGUGAGGAUGCCGGGCAGUAGAGAAACCCCAGGUCACACAGAGCACAGCACGAGACGGGCCACACGGCACUUUAGGCAGGGCAGGACGUAGAAGCGAACAACUCCCACGCGACGUCAGUCUGUGAGGUCAGCAGGUUGGGAGAUGCUGCCAUUGAAAAGAUAGUCUGCCCCUCGAGGCUUCCAAGAGGUCAGCGCGCCCACACCACACAGGGCCACGUGGGCGAGCACCAGUGUAGACGUAAGAAGAGUGUCUCACAGCAGAGCUGAGGGGACCCAGGAGACAGCUGGAUGUGGAGACGACACUGGGCGGGGCACCGGCCAGCGUUCCUGGGAGUCUUCUCCUCACGAUUUAUCAGGAUUCCCUGGUCUGCGGGAACCGAGCUGGUGGAAAGGUUCAGUCUCUGAUGACCGCUGGACUCCAAGCGGCCACUUCCGUGGGAUGAAGACUCGAGCUUGAAAUCCUCCCUACAAGCGGCUCCAUCCAUCCUCUGAGAACAGGCUUCUGCACGUUGCUCAGUUCCAGAAUGUUCUUUUUUAUUUUUUAUUUUAUUUAUUUAUUUUUUAAGAUUUUAUUUAUUUGACAGAGAGA